AGAAGCUAAGAGGGUGGUGCACAAGACGAUAUGUGACCAUGGAGGUUGGCUGCAGGAGAAUAAUUCUGCAGAUCCUUGAAAGACAGGAGGGUCAGAAGCUUGAAGUCUCAUCAGGAAUUUGGUGCGUUUAAGGCAAAGUUUAAGGAGACAUAAUAAUGGACCUUCUCCCCCACCCACACCCCGCUUUAUCUUCACAACAGCCCUGCAAGGUAUCACCUUUUAAUGUGGCCAAAUGUGAUGCAGAAUUCAUCAGGAGCUCGUGCUAAAUUCCAUCUAACCACCUUCUGCUUGUAUUGUUGUAAAUAGAUUAUAUCUUCAGGGACAUAAAGGUGUUUUGGUGUUU